GCUGACUGUAUCACUGAUGACUGUAUUGUCCUGUUUAACCUGCUGCACCAGGCCAGCUGAGUUUCUGUAGGUGAGGGCCGAGGGGGCACCUAACCCAGAACUGCUGAAGUUUCCAGUCACUAUACAGGAAGACAGGUAGAAGGAGAGAUUUGCAAAGUGUCGGGUGACCGGCAUAGAGGUCUGCAAAGUGUCAGUUGAAGACAACGGGAGGGGUCGCAGAGGCAGCAAGGACUGGAGGACAACAUGCAGGAGGGAAGUUACCAUACUUGUGUAAUUGUGUGUGUGGUGGGGGGUAUUGAGAGCACAGUACAAAACAGAGACUACAGUAUGGUGGGGGAGAGCGGACAAUACAAAACAUACAGAAGGGGGCAGCUCAGUAUAGGACAUACAGAUGGUGUUUGACGGGCAGGGGCAGUGCUAGGGUGAUCGGCGCCCCCUUGCAAACUAUAAAUUUGAGCCCUCCCAUACUUUGUAAAGUGACAGCGAGCUUCGUGAAGAAGGGGUGUUGUCUCACAAAGAAGGGGUGUGGCCACACAAUAGUACUCCCAAUUUAAAUUACGACACACAAAAGCACAAUCUUAGUCAGAUAUCACUGCACGUAGUGCCCCUGACUCAUAGUAGACCACAUAGUGUCCCUUAUUCAUAUUACAUCACACAGUAGCACCCCCUAGUCACAUUAUGCUACACAGUAGUGCCCAUUACACACAAAAUGCCCACGGUAGUAAUGCCCCAUGCAAAUAAUGCCCACAGUAGUAGUACCACUGAUACACAUAAUGCCCACAGUAGUAGUGCCGUUUAUACACAUAAUGCCCACAUUAGUAGUGCCCCUAUACACAUAAUGCCCAUAGUAGUAGUGCCCCUUAUGUACAUAAUGCCCAUAGUAGCGGUGCCCCAUAUUAACAUAAUGCACACAGUAGUGCUGCCCCAUAUACACAUAAUGUCCACAGUAGUAGUGGCCCUUGUACACCUAAUACCACACAGUAGUGCCCUUUGUACAUAAUGCUUUAUACACAAUGCCCAUAGUAGUGCCCUUUAUACAUAAUGUCCACAGUAAUGCUCCUUAUACACAUAAUGUCUACAGUAAUAGUGUACCUUACACAUAAUGCCCACAGUAGUAGUACCCAUUAUACACAUAAUGCCCACAGUAGUAGUGGCCCUUACACGUAAUGCGCACAGCAGUGGUGCCCCUUAUACAUAAUGCCUACAGUAGUAGUGUCCCUUAUACACAUAAUUUCAUUUGUAAUAUAAAGGAUAGUUACAGUAGCUCUAUCAUUAUGACUGUAACCUGCACACUGUAGGUAUUGUAUGAUAAUAACAUGGUCCUAACAGUAGGGAAGAUAAAAUCUGGAGCAGAUGACUUGGGUCUCUACUCUAUGAGACAGGAUCUUGGUUAAAGAUGAAAAAAGUCAAUAAAAUAGAUAAAUUGCAAAUGAAUAAAAUUGAAAGUACACAACAAAAUGUAGUAGUACAAUUAUACACAUACUAUGUCUGACCAAGAAAUUCUGGUUGUUUAGAUCAUCAUCUGGCAAAGUUCUGGCAAAGAGAUUUGCAGAGUGUCGGGUGACCGGCAAAGAGAUCUGCAAAGUGUCAGUUGAAGAUGACGGGUGGGGUCGCAGAGGCAGUAAGGACUGGAGGAUAACAUGCAGGAGUUUUCAGACAAGUUACCAGACAUCAGCAUGCCGGUUGGAGGAGACAGUUUUUCCAUGGUUACUCACUGUUUGAAGAGAGGAGCACACGGCAGGAUUUGCAGACACGGAGUAUCACAGCCUUACAGAAUUCUGCAAGAUUCUUUCACACUCUGAGAACACUAGCAGUACAAGUUAAACUUCUUCUGACACCAUGUUUUGUUCAUAUGUUUGUAAAUCCAGUCAUAAGGAUACAGAGACAUGCGAGUUCACUGCUGUGCUGUUUAUUCCAUCACUAACUCCAGACACACUGCACACUGGACCACCCACUUCCCAGCAUCCCCCUGGUCAUAGGGACCAUCACUGAAGAUUCAGGCUUACACAGAUUAGUAAGGGAGUGUCUACAAAUAUUAAGCAUUCUAAUACACUAACAUCGCAUCCACCAAUUUGGCAAUCAACGAAUGUUGUCUUGUGAAUACUGUAAAACAUUUAUGAUAGUCUUGGGAGAACUUUAAAAUGACAUCUACUGUAUAUAUAGUAUAAUUAAGUAAUCAAUGAGAUCAUAUAUAUUUUUAUUGCCAAAAGUUUAGAAGAUGAUUAGUGCAUUACAAAGGUCAACACCCAUCACAAAUAA